rnacentral:rRNA from 1 species
AGCAGCCGCGGUAAUUCCAGCUCCAAUAGCGUAUAUUAAAGUUGUUGCAGUUAAAAAGCUAGUAGUUGAAUUUCGGGAUUGGCACAUCGGUCGUGCCUUAAGGGGUAUGAACUGGUGUAGCCAAUUUCUCACCUUCUGGAGAACCGCGAUGUCCUUAAUUGGGUGCCGCGAGGAACCAGGACCUUUACUUUGAAAAAAUUAGAGUGUUUAAAGCAGGCAUUUUGCUUGAAUACAUUAGCAUGGAAUAAUAAAAUAGGACGGCAUGAUUCUAUUUUGUUGGUUUCUAGGAUCACCGUAAUGAUUAAUAGGGAUAGUUGGGGGCAUUAGUAUUCAAUUGUCAGAGGUGAAAUUCUUGGAUUUAUUGAAGACUAACUACUGCGAAAGCAUUUGCCACGGAUGUUUUCAUUAAUCAAGAACGAAAGUUAGGGGAUCGAAGACGAUCAGAUACCGUCGUAGUCUUAACCAUAAACUAUGCCGACUAGGAAUCAGACGAUGUUAAUUUUUUAAUGACUCGUUUGGCACCUUACG